GGGCUUUGCAUGGGUUUUGGGGGUACUUUCGGGAUAUGGUUAAAAUGUGUGUUUUCUGUGCCUGGAGAUAAUUGAGUUAAUACAAUUCCUGAUUCAAUUAUCUCCCAGAGGGAUUCUCUUAUUUUGAAUGGGAGUGUCCUGGACCUGGGAGCCAAUGUAAUUGUGUGUUUGUUUUUACUGUAGUCUACUCUCAGGUCCAGAGGGGAGUGUCCCUUGCAUGGGGAUUGACAUAAAAGGCCAUGUGUGGCCCCAUUAAAACCAGUUGUCCCACAGCAUAGAGUAUAGUCUCAUGUUUGUGGGAGAAAGCUUUAACAGCUGUCUCCCUUCUGCUUGGCGUGCUAAAUCACUAGCUCUUGUAAGAGCUGUUCCUGCUCUGCAUUACUACAUCCCUCCAACUAAGGGGAAAAAACUGUGGCAGCGGAACCCCUCUUCUUAUCGGGGUGGCCGCCACAUACUCCUUUUGAUUUCACAGGUAAGUAUGAGAGGUAGGCAUUGGAGUAUUGCAAAAAUUUAAAUUGAGGAGGACUGUGUACACAGAAAUAUGUUUCCUGCAAACAAGCAGCUGUAGGUUUUAAUGUAUGGAGACAACCUGAAAAUGGUCUAAAGUCAAUCAAU